rnacentral:rRNA from 1 species
AAUAGAUACCCAGGUAGUCCACGCCGUAAACGAUGGAUGUUAGCUAUCGGGAGAGUCGGCCCUUUCGGUGGCGUAGGUAACCCGUUAAACAUCCCGCCUGGGGAUUACGGUCGCAAGACUAAAACUCAAAGGAAUUGGCGGGGACCCGCACAAGCGGUGGAGCGUCUGGUUUAAUUCGUAGGCAAACGAAAAACCUUACCAGGGUUUGACAUCCUAAUGACAGCCCCUGAAAGGGGGUCUUCCUUCGGGACAUUAGGACAGGUGUUGCAUGGCCCUCGUCAGCUCGUGCCGUGAGGUGUUAGGUUAAGUCCUCGAACGAGCGUAACCCUUAUCUUUAGUUACAAGUGUCUAAAGAGACUGCCCGCGUAAGCGGGAGGAAGGAGGGGAUGACGCGAGGUCAGCAUGGCCCUUAUAUCCUGGGCAACACAGGCGCUACAAUGGUUGGUACAAAGUGUCGCCAGACUGUAAAGUUGAGCUAAUCACUUAAAGCCAACCUCAAUUCGGAUCGAGGUCUGCAAUCCGACCUCGUGAAGCCGGAAUCGCUAGUAACCGUGAAUCAGCAUGUCAC